UNGGAGAGGAAAGUGGAAUUCNUAGUGUAGCGGUGAAAUGCGUAGAUAUUAGGAAGAACACCNGUGGCGAAGGCGACUUUCUGGACGAAAACUGACGCUGAGGCGCGAAAGCCAGGGGAGCGAACGGGAUUAGAUACCCCGGUAGUCCUGGUCGUAAACGAUGGGUACUAGGUGUAGGAGGUAUCGACCCCUUCUGUGCCGGAGUUAACGCAAUAAGUACCCCGCCUGGGGAGUACGACCGCAAGGUUGAAACUCAAAGGAAUUGACGGGGGCCCGCACAAGCGGUGGAGUAUGUGGUUUAAUUCGACGCAACGCGAAGAACCUUACCAGGUCUUGACAUUGAUGGACAGAACUAGAGAUAGUUCCUCUUCUUCGGAAGCCAGAAAACAGGUGGUGCACGGUUGUCGUCAGCUCGUGUCGUGAGAUGUUGGGUUAAGUCCCGCAACGAGCGCGACCCCUAUCUUAUGUUGCCAGCACGUAAUGGUGGGAACUCAUGAGAGACUGCCGCAGACGAUGCGGAGGAAGGCGGGGAUGACGUCAAAUCAUCAUGCCCCUUAUGACCUGGGCUACACACGUACUACAAUGGGAGUUAAUAGACGGAAGCGAGAUCGCGAGAUGGAGCAAACCCGAGAAACACUCUCUCAGUUCGGAUCGUAGGCUGCAACUCGCCUACGUGAAGUCGGAAUCGCUAGUAAUCGCAGGUCAGCAUACUGCGGUGAAUACGUUCCCGGGCCUUGUACACACCGCCCGUCACACCACGAAAGUCGGAAGUGCCCAAAGCCGGUGGGGUANCCUUCGGGAGCCA
rnacentral:rRNA from 1 species